rnacentral:rRNA from 1 species
UACGUAGGGUGCAAGCGUUAAUCGGAAUUACUGGGCGUAAAGCGUGCGCAGGCGGUUUUGUAAGACAGGUGUGAAAUCCCCGGGCUUAACCUGGGAACUGCAUUUGUGACUGCAAGGCUGGAGUGCGGCAGAGGGGGAUGGAAUUCCGCGUGUAGCAGUGAAAUGCGUAGAUAUGCGGAGGAACACCGAUGGCGAAGGCAAUCCCCUGGGCCUGCACUGACGCUCAUGCACGAAAGCGUGGGGGAGCAAACAGG